UAGGCAGGAGCCAGUAGGUAAGGCAUCUAGCUGUUAACUAGAAUUAUGUGGGAUCGAGGCCCAUCUGUCUAG
rnacentral:tRNA from 1 species